GACGUAGGGCGCGAGCGUUGUCCGGAUUUAUUGGGCGUAAAGAGCUCGUAGGCGGCUUGUCGCGUCGACUGUGAAAACCUGCAGCUUAACUGUGGGCUUGCGGUCGAUACGGGCAUCACUGGAGUUCGGCAGGGGAGACUGGAAUUCCUGGUGUAGCGGUGAAAUGCGCAGAUAUCAGGAGGAACACCGGUGGCGAAGGCGGGUCUCUGGGCCGAUACUGACGCUGAGGAGCGAAAGCGUGGGGAGCGAACAGG
rnacentral:rRNA from 1 species